ensembl:antisense uncharacterized LOC110309619
GCUGCCUGCCGGGAGAGGAAGAGCGAGAAAAGGAAGAGAGCCUUUCCCAGGCCAGCCCCUCCAAGGAGGUCUGCUGCUUGACAAAUACGUCAAGGUUUGCUCUCUGGAGAUUUUCAGCGCAUCCUGUCCCAGAUUCUCAUUUGGUUAUUUGUCAGCGACUGGUUUUCAUGCUGCACAUGUGUGCACAAAUGCACAUGAAGGCAUGACGCACAUGAAGAAUUCUCUGCCUACAGUUGUUGGGCCAUCACGUGUCAUAGACUCCAAGAUAGCAGAUCAUAUCUUCCUCUGAGAUGGAGAGACCUACAUCCUAAACAUUUCUCAAGUCUCUUCUCUUUAAAGCUAGCAUAGUUUAAGCACAUCUUCAGUCUUGCCUUAAGCCCUGCAACGCUGUCUGCUCACCCUGCCAAUCGUUCCCGGGAUAUGCCGGCUCAUCUCAUAGUUUGUAUAUGUUUAUCUUUG